rnacentral:rRNA from 2 species
AGAAACUAACAAGGAUUCCCCCAGUAACGGCGAGUGAAGCGGAAGAGCUCAAGCUUAAAAUCUCCAUACUUGUAUGGCGAAUUGUAGUCUAUUGAGGCUGUUGUCAGCAUCGCGAUUGGGGACAAGUCCCUUGGAAAAGGGCAGCAUGGAGGGUGAUACUCCCGUCUCUGCUCCAAUCUGCGGUGUGUACGAUACGCUUUCUUUGAGUCGAGUUGUUUGGGAAUACAGCUCAAAGUAGGUGGUAAAUUCCAUCUAAAGCUAAAUAUUGGUGCGAGACCGAUAGCGAACAAGUACCGUGAGGGAAAGAUGAAAAGAACUUUGAAAAGAGAGUUAAAGAGUACCUGAAACUGUUGAAAGGGAACCGUAGUCGUUUCCAGUGUUGUAUCCGUAUGCAUAUUUCAUUCGUGGAGUAAUUUACGGGUGCCCUGUGCAUGGGUGUGACGUCAGGGUCAGUUUGUAUGCUGCGGGAGAUGGUCAGUGAGGAGGUGCGUCACUUCGGUGAAAGUUAUAUCUCGCUGUCUAGUAGCCGUGGUUGAGACUGAGGUGCCUACAACAUGCCUUAAGGUUCUAUGUUGUCUCGUGUUGGUGACUGCUUUGAUAGCUUGCUAUGUCUGUGGUUUAUUAAUGCGUAAG